UGCACUGCGUAGAUAUGGCAGAUUCGCUGGCAUGCGUGUCCUGGAAUGUUGCAUUUGGAGACAACAAAAAGGAGAAGUUUCAAGUUUGACAUAGGAUGACACAGACAAUGCAAGAGGAAGCGGAAAGCCAAGGAGACAGAGGGAACUCUCAAAACGUAAGUUCCACCCCCACUAGGGAGACUGAGCAGAAGGCUUGGUUUUCAGUUUCCACGGGCCCAUUAAUUAGAGAGUUGAAGGCAAUUGCACCUACAUCUCAAGGGACAGGUCAACCCCAGAUGACUCCCAGUUACAUAAGAACUAGAAAAAGUCACUGAGUUCAUGUCAACAAAAACCAAACCCAUUGCUGUCGAGUCAACUCUGACUCAUAGCAACCCUAUAAGACAGAGUAGAACUGCCCCAUAGACUUCAUGUCAAGGAGCAAAUAUUUCAGCCCUUCAGAAUCGCCAGCUGGCUGAGGACGCUGCCUAACUGAGAAGAAGCUAUCACUUGAUGCUACAGCAACACCUUCCACAGCGUCCAGAGCAAGCUAGGCUGGGCGCCACUGUAGGUCAAAAGCUGAGCAUGUCCUUCAGAUGCAGCAACUCUGCAAGCCCCCAGGCUGGCAUUCAUUUACAGAAGAAACCAGAAAAGCCACAUCUGACCCAUCACAGGGCCUCCCUAAGUAAAUACAUAAGUAAGUAAAUAAAUAAAAGUUCUAAAGCUAUUUUUUAACCAGAUUCACUCCAUAAUCAAUAUUUCGUUUCUAUUGUUUGAAGAAUAGAGAUUCUGACUGAAAGAAUGCUAGAUUCUGUUUGGUUCUGGUCAUCAUUCUUCACUAAUAUCCAGGCAAUAAUCUGAAGUUCUGCCAUUAGUACAAAAUUAUUGUUAUUAUUCUAUUUGUUCAGGAACUUAAUGGAUUCUAUUUAAUACUUUUCUUUCAAAAUUCAAGUAUGUGUGUGUGUUUUAAGCAUUUCCAUUUCUCUUCACAAUUGCAAGGCUAGGCUGAAUGAUUAUUCCUUUCCCCUUUUAUGGCCAAUUCUCCUUUUCAUUUCUACAUUACCUAUUUGACCUGUUUGCUGACCUAGCAUAAAAUCAACUUCAUUCUGUCCUGGGUAAUUGACUGCUCCUUUAUGGAUCCAAACAGAAGGGCUUGUCAUCAGACUCUUAGGUUUGGAAAGGAUAAUUCUAUUACCUGAAGAAAAGCUCAUUUUAAGAAACGGAACUAUAACUAUAUAAACUUCUUUAACUUAUUAGAAAAAAAUCUCAGGAGAAAUGUAUUAGCAAUUGGAUCUUGUUAUCCGAAGUCCAAUUUUAUUCUGCUCUCAUUGUGUUGACCCCAAGGAGGAUCAGAGCACAGCGCAAAGCCCACAUUGGCCAGCACGUGUUACAUUUGUUCUCCUAGCACUCUGGGGCCCGGACUACACGGUGGUCUCAGAGAAGGAACCAAACCAAACCAAACCGCUGGCCGUUGAGUCAAUUCUGACUCGAGGGACUGAAAUAAUAGACACGCCCAAUUGCCGGAUUAUGGGGAUAUUAGGUUCUUAGUUGAAUCUGUUCCAAAUCAUAAUGUGGUAAAGUUGUUUGCUUUUCUACAUUCUUAGCCAUUGAGAGUAUUUGGCAAUAGGAAAACUCUUGCUUCUUAGCUCCCUCUGCUGGCCUUUCAGAAAACCGUUUGUCCCCAGAUCCUGAGUUGCGUAUACAAAAAGGGCCAUCUUCCUGCCAAACAUGAGCUGAUGGGGAAGUUAAGUCCACAUCAACUGGAGAAAGCAAGUUAGCUCCCCAAGGAACCCAGUGCUCCAAAAGAUGAAAGUGGAAGAAAGGUCUUCGCUAUGGCAUACCCAAAUUAAAACGCAAUUCCUCAGCCCAUCCCACAAAGAAGUGAGACCGAAGUGAGACCCAGGCAUGUUUAUUUUGAAAAAUAAUCCCAGAUCAUUCUGCUGGAUCUCCUAAUUAGGAACCACAGAUCCAGAAGUUCUGUUUAAUGUUUAAUGCAAAUUCCAGUUGCUGCAAUUUAAACUUACAAGAUAUCGCUUUCGCAGGCUAGUGGGGAGGAAUAAAGAAUGACUAAUCGUUAACCUAUGAGUUGUAAUUGACUCGACGGCAACAGGUUUGGGUUUUUUUGGUUUUAAUCAUUAACCUGGCUCAGUAUGGAUGGUGCCUGUAUUCUUGUUUCCUGAGGUUAAAAAACCUAAUUCUAUUGUCAUUUCACCUAUUGUCCUAAAAGAUUCUCAGGAGCCAAUAAUAGCAAUUCAGAGGAAUUCAGUGUGCCUCAGUUUCGGAAGGCUUUGCUCUUUCUCAUCUUCAGUUGUCUCAUUUCUACUCCGUACGGGCUUUGUUAGUGUCACGGCGUUCCCUCUGAAGCUGGUAGAGACAGCCAACUCUAAAGCCAUCUGGUAACAGAAGGGUCACAUCUCCAGCCUGCUCGCUGCCAAUCAUUGUAUAUGAUGGCAGGGAAGGCAGGGCAUCAUGCUGAAAGACACCCACAUUUACUGGGCCCCAAAUCCCGAGCUCUUUAGACCAAACCUAUCCCUAAGGAGAUGAAAGGUCUUGGCUUGUCAGCUAAGUGACUGAGAGGUUGGUCAGGACACAAUUUACACGGAAAUUCCAUUUACCAUUAGAGUUGCCCCAAUAAAAAUGGUUUCAAGGCUCUAGGCUAUGUCUAUGACCUUGACCUUACAAAUGUGUCACCUUGGUUACUUCCUAAUAAGGAAAAUAGCUCAAUUUGUCCAAUUAACCAUGGGUUAGUCAAGGCACACACCGGGCAAGAGAAUAAAACAUUUACAUAGUUUGCUUUAUCUAGGAAAAUAUUAAGCAUACAUAAUAUAAUACCUUCUCACAAUGCUUCAUUCUUCAUGAAGCACGUUCAUAUUUAUUUCACAAUUAAGUUUCACAACUCCAAAAAAUAUUGAUUUGUUACAAUAAUUUGUUAUAAUUGAUUUAUUACUAUAUAUACAUACAAUUAUUAAAUCAGAGAAUGUUUUGAAAAAUGAAUUAGCAUCUUUAUGAUAAGAAGCUCCUUGAUUAUUAAAAAUAAUGUUUCUGUUUUUGCAAAUAUAAACCUAAAAUAUCUAUAAGGUCUCAAUUAAUGACAAAACAUGCAAGUACUCACAUUUAAUACCCUGUGAGUAACCUUCUGAAAAAUAUCAAUAACAACACCUUUAAAUAAUCCAGCUUUCAUGAACAGGAGAAGGAAUCCUGAGAUGAAUAUAGGCAAAGCUUUCUGGCUCUUCAGAGACAUGUCUUAUUUAAAAUAAUAAUCAUACAGAUAUAAUAUAGAUUAAUCAUGUACCAGAUCUGGAGACUUGUUUAUAAUGUCACAAUGCUUUGCAGAUCACUUGUGACUCUCCAAGGUGAAGACUGAUACAGAUCUUCAAGCAUCCACUGACAAUGUUACUUAUUUCCUCAUCUGAAUGCUCAAUGGGUAAAGUUAAAUUUCAUUCUCUUAUUCACUUUAUAUUUUGUUCCCAACAGCUAACAGAUGCAAUGCAAAAGAUCAUACAAAGCUGCCAAAUUAAAGUGAAAUGACAUUGAAUAGUAUGGAAGAAUUAAGAAGACUGAUACUCUAGAUCAUUUAUUUUGCCUUUCUUACAACAUAGAGAUAGGGCCAGGAGGCAAAGGGGGCAAGGGUUAAAUCCUCUAAUGUUUAAGGUUUAACUGGAACUUAAUGCUAACUCAGUUUCUAAUCUUUUUCCUAAGUAUUUCAUUAUGGAAUUCAGCAUGACUUCGCCUGGAUUUAUAUUCAUUUACUCAUUUAUUCAGCAAGUCCUAUCGGGCACCUAUUAUGUUCUAGGCACUAUUUUCAGUGCUAGGAAUAUAGCAAUGAACUAAGUCACACAUUCACGAAGCUCACAUUCUUUAGGGGAAGACUGACAGUAAACAAGUAAAUACACAAUAUAAUUCACCUGGCAUUAAGUGGUAAGAA